GAUGAACGCUGGCGGCGUGCUUAACACAUGCAAGUCGAACGAUGAGGCCCAGCUUUCUUGGUGUGUUCGUGUCGAACGCGUGUGUAUCACGUGAGUGUCCUCUCCUUAACUCUGGGAUAUGCCUGGAAGACUCUGUCUCAUAUCCCGUAUAAGCGUUCCCGCCGCAUGGUGUGUUGUGAAGAUUUAUCGGUUUUGGAUGGACUCGCGGCCUAUCAGCUUGUUGGUGUGGUAUUGGCUCACCAAGGCGCCGACGGGUAGCCGGCCUGAGAGGGUGACCGGCAACACUGGGACUGAGACACGGCCCAGACUCCUACGGGAGGCAGCAGUGGGGAAUAUUGCACAAUGGGCGGAAGCCUGAUGCAGCGACGCCGCGUGAGGGAUGACGGCCUUCGGGUUGUAAACCUCUUUCAGUAGGGAAGAAGCGAAAGUGACGGUAACGGGAGAAGAAGCACCGGCUAACUACGUG
rnacentral:rRNA from 1 species